ACUAAAGUGGCAGAGAAAGUGCAUUGGCUUUAAGCGCCAAACAUAGGUCACCCCCUCUUUAGUU
rnacentral:tRNA from 1 species